rnacentral:rRNA from 1 species
CCUACGAGAGGCAGCAGUGAGGAAUAUUGGUCAAUGGACGAGAGUCUGAACCAGCCAAGUAGCGUGAAGGAUGACUGCCCUAUGGGUUGUAAACUUCUUUUAUAUGGGAAUAAAAUGUUCCCCGUGUGGGAUUUUGUAUGUACCAUAUGAAUAAGGAUCGGCUAACUCCGUGCCAGCAGCCGCGGUAAUAAGGAGGAUCUGAGCGUUAUCCGGAUUUAUUGGGUUUAAAGGGAGCGUAGGUGGAUUGUUAAGUCAGUUGUGAAAGUCUGGGGCUCAACCGUAAAAUUGCAGUUGAAACUGGCAGUCUUGAGUACGGUAGAGGUGAGCGGAAUUCGUGGUGUAGCGGUGAAAUGCUUAGAUAUCACGAAGAACUCCGAUUGCGAAGGCAGCUCACUGGACUGCAACUGACACUGAGGCUCGAAAGUGUGGGGAUCAAACAGGAUUAGAUACCCGAGUAGUC